rnacentral:rRNA from 1 species
UACAGAGGGUGCGAGCGUUGUUCGGAAUUAUUGGGCGUAAAGGGCGCGUAGGCGGUGCGGUAAGUCACCUGUGAAAUCUCCUGGCUCGAACUGGGAGCUUGCAGGCGAAACUGCCGUGCUGGAGUGUGGGAGAGGUGCGUGGAAUUCCUGGUGUAGCGGUGAAAUGCGUAGAUAUCAGGAGGAACGACCUGUGGCGAAAGCGGCGCACUGGACCACAACUGACGCUGAGGCGCGGAAAGCUAGGGGAGCAAACAGG